UAAUUCUAGAGCUAAUACAUGCUAAAAUCCCAACGUACGGAGGUGUUGAUUUAUUAGAUUCAAAACCAACGCCCCUCGGGGCUCUCUGGUGAAUCAUGAUAACUUUGCGGAUCGCAAGGCCUUGCGCCGGCGAUGGUUCAUUCGAAUUUCUGCCCUAUCAACUUUCGAUGGCUGGGUCUUGGCCAGCCAUGGUAGCAACGGGUAACGGAGGGUUAGGGCUCGACCCCGGAGAAGGAGCGUGAGAGACGGCUACUACAUCCAAGGAAGGCAGCAGGCGCGCAAAUUACCCCAAUCCCGAUACGGGGAGGUAGUGACAAUACAUACUGAUACAGGGCUCUUUUGGGUCUUGUAAUUGGAAUGAGUACAAUUUAAAUCCCUUAACGAGGAACAAUUAGAGGCCAAGUCUGGUGCCAGCAGCCGCGGUAAUUCCAGCCAUAAUAGCGUAUAUUAAAGUUGUUGAGGUUAUAAAGCUCGUAGUUGAACCUUGGGCCUGGCUGGCUGGUCCGCCUCACCGCGUGUACUGGUCCGGCCGGGUCUUUCCCUCUGGGGAGCCGCAUGCCCUUUACUGGGUGUGCCGGGGAACCAGGACGUUUACUCUGAACAAAUCAGAUCGCUUAAAGAAGGCCUAUGCUCGAAUGUUCUAGCAUGGAAUAAUGGAAUAGGACGCGCGGUUUUAUUUUGGUGGUUUCUAGGACCGCCGUAAUGAUUAAUAGGGACAGUCGGGGGCAUCAGUAUUCAAUUGUCAGAGGUGAAAUUCUUGGAUUUAUUGAAGACUAACUACUGCGAAAGCAUUUGCCAAGGAUGUUUUCAUUAAUCAGGAACGAAAGUUAGGGGAUCGAAGACGAUCAGAUACCGUCGUAGUCUUAACCAUAAACUAUGCCGAUUAGGGAUCGGACGGUGUUAUUUUUUGACCCGUUCGGCACCUU
rnacentral:rRNA from 1 species